rnacentral:rRNA from 1 species
UCACGGGUAUAGGAAAGGGGCACCGAUGCGUACAGGAUAGUCACUGGAGAGGCUCUCCGAUGAGAAGAAGGUUGGAGGGUUUCCGCCCUUAGUGCCGCACUAACGAUAAAAGGGGCCUGGGAGACGACGCAAGGUUGAAACUCAAAGGAAUUGACGGGGGCCCGCACAAGCGGUGGAGCAUGUGGUUUAAUUCGAAGCUACGCGAAGAACCUUACCAGGUCUUGACAUCUUCUGCCAACCUAAGAGAUUAGGCUUUCCCUUCGGGGACAGAAUGACAGGUGGUGCAUGGUUGUCGUCAGCUCGUGUCGUGAGAUGUUGGGUUAAGUCCCGUUACGAGCUCAUCCCUUAUUACUAGUUGCCAGCAUUUUUUUGGGCACUCUAGCAAGACUGCCGGUGACAAACCGGAGGAAGGUGGGGAUGACGUCAAAUCAUCAUGCCCCUUAUGACUUGGGCUAA